AUCAAUCUGACUAGUCUCAAAUAGGAUGAAACGCGCGUCCUGGAU
rfam:Schistosoma mansoni, Puerto Rico, WGS project CABG01000000 data, contig: 0071